rnacentral:tRNA from 1 species
AGCUCAGUGGUAGAGCAAUCGGCUGUUAACCGAUCGGUCGUAGGUUCGAAUCCUCUAAGGC